CAGGUCUGGCUUCUCUCCUGCACAGCCUCCCUCCUACCUGGAAAUGCUGGGGACUCAGCACCAGGCUCUGCCUUCACAGGAGAGGACAAUGAAGAUGCAACUAAUGUCUGUGUGGCACCUGAUACAAGAAGCUUGAAGGGCUUCCUCUAAAAAGAAAGCAGCACAGAAGAGGCCAUCUGCAGAGCAGCAGGUGUGUGCAUGGCUGUCAGGUCUGAAAAACUCACCCUUUCCUUGGCAAGGGGAAGAGCAUGUAG
rnacentral:lncRNA from 1 species